rnacentral:rRNA from 1 species
UACGUAGGGCGCAAGCGUUGUCCGGAAUUAUUGGGCGUAAAGAGCUCGUAGGCGGCUUGUCACGUCGAUUGUGAAAGCCCGAGGCUUAACCUCGGGUCUGCAGUCGAUACGGGCUAGCUAGAGUGUGGUAGGGGAGAUCGGAAUUCCUGGUGUAGCGGUGAAAUGCGCAGAUAUCAGGAGGAACACCAAUAGCGAAGGCAGCUCGCUGGGACGGUAUUGACGCUAAGGCGCGAAAGCGUGGGGAGGAAACAGG